rnacentral:rRNA from 1 species
GUAACGGCGAGUGAAGCGGCAACAGCUCAAAUUUGAAAGCUGGCCUUCGGGUCCGCAUUGUAAUUUGUAGAGGAUGCUUUGGGGCAGCCGCCUGUCUAAGUUCCUUGGAACAGGACGUCAUAGAGGGUGAGAAUCCCGUAUGUGACAGGACAUGGCACCCUAUGUAAAGCUCCUUCGACGAGUCGAGUUGUUUGGGAAUGCAGCUCUAAAUGGGAGGUAAAUUUCUUCUAAAGCUAAAUACCGGCGAGAGACCGAUAGCGCACAAGUAGAGUGAUCGAAAGAUGAAAAGCACUUUGGAAAGAGAGUUAAAAAGCACGUGAAAUUGUUGAAAGGGAAGCGCUUGCAAUCAGACUUGUUUUGACUGUUCGGCCGGUCUUCUGACCGGUUUACUCAGUCUGGACAGGCCAGCAUCAGUUUUGGCGGCCGGAUAAAGGCUCAGGGAAUGUGGCUCUCACUUCGGUGGGAGUGUUAUAGCCCUGGGUGUAAUACGGCCAGCCGGGACUGAGGUCCGCGCUUCGGCUAGGAUGCUGGCGUAAUGGUUGUAAGCGACCCGUCUUGAA